GCGCCAUCUUCCUUCCAGCUGCUGAACGGUGGCCCCAUGGUGCGCGCAGGCUGGUGUGCGGAGCGUGCGGAACCAGCGGAGCGGGAUCGGCGUGAGCAGCGUACUGGCUGGUCUCAAACUCCUGAUCCCAGUGAUCCGCCCGCCUCGGCCUCACAAAGUGCUGGGAUUACAGCUGUUUUACCAUGAUGUGCUUAGGUGUUCUUUCAUUUGUAUUCAUCCUAUUUGAGGUUCAUCUGAGGCCAAAUACCUGAUGUCAACUUUCUUUUUGCCACAACUUAGAGAUAACAUAAUAGGGGCAGCCUUUUCAAUAAUAGUAAGAGACAAAAAGUGGCCUAUUAAAUACAGUUACUUUGGAUUUCGGGGAAAGAAUUUCUUCCUUUAUGAGGAAGAAGGCAAGACCCUUUUCAUCUUUGAUCAUUGGUUAGCUAACGGUUUUAAAAGGAUUAGGACUAAAUAUAAAUGCCAAAAUUAUCUUUGUUUUUUGUCAACAUAUAAAAGCAUGUCUUUUAAAUUGUAUGUUUGUUUUUACUUUUGCUUUUAUUAUUUUAAAAAGUCUUAGCAUUGUAAACAAUAUAUUUUGUUGUUGGUGUUAUUAGUUGUGUCUAGCUUAUAAAUCUAAAGCUUUGUUAUUAUAAAAAUGAUACUUGCCUUAUUCAAAUAUUUCUCAAUGCAUUUUUAUACAUAUAGACAUUUUACACAAUAUCCUGUAAAUAGGAUUCUAUUAUACUAUAGUCUGGUGUUUUUAUUCACCAAGAACUUAUGAUACCAUUCCAGGUAAAGAAUUAUAGAUGAUUAUCAGGAUACGCAAGAUGAAACAUGGAUGUCUGUCAUGAUUUAAUAAUGAAUUAUUUGGCAAGUGUGGAAGUUGCUAUGAUAUGUAUUGUGGGUGGAAUUGUGUCCCCCAAAAUGAUGUCCUGAAGUCUUAACUUCUGGUACCUGUGAAUGUGACUUUAUUUGGAAAUAGGGUCUUUGCAAAUGCAAUCAAGUUAGGUUGAGAUCAUACUAGAUUCGGGUGAGCCCGAAAUCCACUGACUGGUUUUCCUCUAAGGAGAGAGAGAUUUGGAGACACAGAUUCCCAGGGAGGAGUACCAUGUGACUACAGGGGCAGAGACUGGAGCAAUACAGCUGCAAGCGGAGGAAUGUCAAGAAUUGCCAGCAACCACCAGAAGCUAGGAAGAAAAAGGAAGACUCCUCUCUGGGGCCCUCAGAAGGAACAUGAUGGCCAAUACCUUAAUUCUGGACAUCUGGCUUCCAGGACUGUGAGAGAAUACAUUUGUGUUGUUUUAGCCACCUAGUCUGUGGUAAUUUGUUACAGGAGCUGUCUAAGAAACUAAUAUAAUAUGUUAUGCUGAAUUAUUUUAUUUUAUAUUAUGUAUUUCUCUACAGCUGGAAAUAAGUUAUUAUUAGUGUCAUGUGUCCCAUAUAUCAUGGGUUGACAUUUCAAUUCUAAUUAAAGAAGCAACUAUUUUGACAUGUAAGUGGAAUGUGGAAUUUAGGAACUACGACAUUAUAUAUCUCUGAUAAGUUUUCAAGCAAACUUUAUCCACUUCUAGUCUCCUCAAUUAAAAAGGGACAUGAAAAAUGUGGAGAUUCAUUAAUUGAGACCAACAAAAAAGGCUAACAGGCUGAAAAAUAAGGGUAUUAGUCACAGACUUAGAAAGCUGAAUGGGGACAUUAGUGACCAUCCACCCUGGGGCUGGCAUACUGCCAGCACACACCCUGCCUUUCCACUGCAGACACCAUCCAAACAGGGUGCUGCUCAGCCCUGGCCCAGACCCAGCCUCAUAGUCCUCCUCUGCACAGUGUACCAGGCAGUUGUAACCAACUGAUAGAGAUAGCCCAAAAGAAAGCCUAUUAGCUAUUAUGGUCCAGUCAAGUCUUUUCAUUUACAGAUGAAAACACUGAAGCCCAAGGAGAGAAAGGGAGCUAAUUGUAGGACCCAGAAUAAGUUAAGAACUGGAUGUUAAUCCCCAAAUUCCCGUCUUGUGCCUACUUCACCGCCAUAUCCCCUCCUAAGCAGUAAUCAAAGGAUAAAAAUCUCUUUUGGGGGGAGGGGCUGGGGUACAUAAUUUGGGGCUAUCAAGAUUUCCUUCAAAAUCUUAAACGGGUUCCAUGUAACUCCCUAAUGGUAUGACUGGGGUCCAAUAGAAACAUUAAGUAUCUCAGGAUACAGAAUUGAACUUGAGUAGUUAGUGUAAUUCUAAUGGUUAAGGAUUGUGGUAGUGGUUGGGGAAGAGAAGGAAAAGAGCAGAUGCUGUUGCUAGAGGGCAAGGACCAUACCACUUUGAUUUCCCCAUGUUGUUAUUUGACAAGACUUAUUUAAUAAACCUUGUGCUUCACCAUAGGGACAUCCAGAGGGGUAAAAGAAAGACUUCUUCCUCAAGGAGGUCAAUACAUUUAUGCUGGAAGCUAGAAGCCAAUGGAGUCAAGCCUUCAAUAUUCUGAGAUAAUAUAUUUCAAAUCUAGAAUUCCAUACUUUCUCAUAUGAAAACUAAAGUGUUAGGAUGGAAUAAAUAUAUUCAGAAAGUUGAAUGAUGUGCUUCACCAACAUGAGUGAGUAAAGAAGGAAGACAUAAGGAAUCCUGGGUAUGGGGCACCUGCCACAAGAUGCAGCAAUGGGAAUUCCCAGGAUGACAGUGAAAAGAAACAUAAUAGCUGUGCAGAAGUCCUCAAAGAGGAGCAGGGAGGCAGAGGGAUCUGAGAGCAAUGUCCCCAAAACAAUCAAGAAAAUGUAUCAAACCGAUCUACUGCCAGAUUUUAAAAACUAUAAUGAGAGGAAUUUUAUAUAUCUGGGCCAGUUGGGUGUGAAUUAAUGAUAGGUACAUGGAAAUGGAGCAAUUGAAAGGAUAAGGCAAUUAUUAACUCAAAAGAAAACAAAAAGUUGUACAUUACAUAAUACAAACGCAGAAGUAAACUCUCACAUAUAUGGUCAAAUGAUUUUUGACAAGGCUGCCAAGACUACUUAAUGGGGAGAGGACAUUCUUUUCAACAAAUUGUGCAGGGAAAACUGGAUAUUCAUUUGAAAAAGAACAAAGUUGAAUUCUUACCUUACACCAUAUCCAAAAAUUAACUGAAAAUAGGUCAAAAACCUUAAUGCAAGAGCUAAAACUAUCAAGCUGUUAUAAGAAAACAUAGGGAAAAAGCUUCAUGACACUGGAUUUGGCAAUGACUUAUUAGAUGUAACACCAAAAGCACAAGCAACAAAGGCAAAAGUAGACAAAUGGGACUACCUCAAAAUUAAAAACUUUUGUGCAUCAAAAGAUACUAUCGGAUUGGAAAGGCAACUCACAGAAUGGGAGAAAAUAUUUUCAAAUAAUGUAUCUGAUAACGGAUUAUAUCCAGGAUACAAAAAGAACUACAAUCCAACAAGAAAAAAACCAACCUAAUUAAGAUGGGCAAAAACUUAGACAUUUCUCCAAAGAUGAUUUAUAAAUGGCCAAUAAGCACAUGAAAAGAUGUUCAAAAUCACAGUUCAUUACAGAAAUACAAAUGAAAACUAUAAUGAGAUACCACUUCAUCCAUUAGGAUGGCCAUUACGUAAAAAAAAAGGAAAAUUACAUAUAGAAUUAUCAUAGGAUCUGGCAAUUCUACUUCUUUGUAUAUACCCCAAAGACUUGAAAGCAGAGACUUGAAGAGAUAUUUGUAUUCCCAAGUCUAUAGCAUAUUAUUCAUAAUAGCAAAAAUGUGGAAGCAACCAAAAUAUCUACUGAAAGAGUGGAUAAACCACAUGUGUAUAUACAUACGAUGGAAUAUUAUUAAGCCUUAACAAGGGAGGAAAUUCUGACACAUGCUACAACAUGGAUGAAUCUUGAAG
rnacentral:lncRNA from 1 species